GACAGAGGGGGCAAGCGUUGCUCGGAAUUACUGGGCGUAAAGGGCGCGUAGGCGGCAAUUCAAGUCAUCUGUGAAAUCUCCGGGCUUAACUCGGAACGGUCAGAUGAUACUGUCUUGCUAGAGUGCAGAAGGGGCAAUCGGAAUUCUUGGUGUAGCGGUGAAAUGCGUAGAUAUCAAGAGGAACACCUGAGGUGAAGACGGGUUGCUGGGCUGACACUGACGCUGAGGCGCGAAAGCCAGGGGAGCAAACGGG
rnacentral:rRNA from 1 species